rnacentral:pre_miRNA from 1 species
AAAAAAACAAACCCUGAAUUUUCGUGUCCAACUUUGACCGUCCGUCUUAUAUGAAAUUUUUUUAUAAUUCGUAUUUUCAUUGUUGUUAGAUGAUAAAACAUGAUUAAUAUUUUAUGCGUGACUUGUCUUUUUAAUUUUUUUAUAUUUUUUUCAAAUAAGACGGACGGUCAAACAUUGGACACGGAAACUAGGGUUUGUCUUUUU